rnacentral:rRNA from 1 species
CACGUAGGGCGCAAGCGUUGUCCGGAAUUAUUGGGCGUAAAGAGCUCGUAGGCGGUCUGUUGCGUCCGCUGUGAAAACUCGGGGCUUAACCCCGAGCCUGCAGUGGAUACGGGCAGACUAGAGGUAGGUAGGGGAGAAUGGAAUUCCCGGUGUAGCGGUGAAAUGCGCAGAUAUCUGGAGGAACACCGGUGGCGAAGGCGGCAUCCUGGACCGGUAUUGACGCUGAGGCGCGAAAGCCAGGGGAGCAAACGGG